rnacentral:rRNA from 1 species
GUAGGGAAUAUUGGUCAAUGGACGAAAGUCUGAACCAGCCAUUCCGCGUGCAGGAAGAAGAUUCUAUGGAUUGUAAACUGCUUUUAGCAGAGAAGAAACGCCUUCAUUGAUGAGGGUUUGACGGUAUCUGCGGAAUAAGCACCGGCUAACUCCGUGCCAGCAGCCGCGGUAAUACGGGGGGUGCAAGCAUUAUCCGGAUUCACUGGGUUUAAAGGGUGCGUAGGCGGGAAAUUAAGUCAGUGGUGAAAGUCUGUUGCUUAACGAUAGAAUUGCCGUUGAUACUGAUUUUCUUGAAUUGGGUUGAGGUUAGCGGAAUGUGACAUGUAGCGGUGAAAUGCAUAGAUAUGUCAUGGAACACCAAUUGCGAAGGCAGCUAGCUGGGCCUUGAUUGACGCUGAGGCACGAAAGCGUGGGUAGCGAACAGGAUUAGAAACCCCAGUAGUCC